rnacentral:sRNA from 1 species
CGGGCCUGGAGCCGGGACCCGCCCUAGGGGCUCGGAUCGCCGCGCGCUCGCCGCUCGCCCGCCAGCCCGCCCGUGGUCCGUGGCGGCGCGCUCCACCCGGCACGGGGAGGCGCGGGGCGCACCAUGGCCGCAGACACGCCGGGGAAACCGAGCGCCUCGCCGAUGGCAGGAGCGCCGGCCAGCGCCAGCCGGACCCCAGACAAGCCCCGGAGCGCGGCCGAGCACCGCAAGGUGGGGUCCCGGCCCGGCGUGAGGGGGGCGACCGGGGGGCGGGAGGGACGGAGGAACGCGGGACUCAGCCGGUGCCCGACCCGCAGUCCUCCAAGCCGGUCAUGGAGAAGCGGCGCCGAGCGCGCAUUAACGAGAGCCUCGCUCAGCUCAAAACCCUCAUCCUGGACGCCCUCAGAAAAGAGGUAAGUCGGGGGCGAAGGCCCGAGACCCGGAGUCUGGGUCGCAGCUGACCUGGACCUCCCGCCUAUCCCCGCCCCCAGAGCUCCCGCCACUCGAAGCUAGAGAAGGCGGACAUCCUGGAGAUGACCGUGAGACACCUGCGGAGCCUGCGUCGCGUGCAGGUGACGGCCGCGCUCAGCGCCGACCCCGCCGUCCUGGGCAAGUACCGCGCCGGCUUCCACGAGUGUCUGGCGGAGGUGAACCGCUUCCUGGCCGGCUGCAAGGGCGUCCCGGCCGACGUGCGCUCCCGCCUGCUGGGCCACCUGGCAGCCUGCCUGCGCCAGCUGGGACCCUCCCGCCGCCCGGCCUCCCUGUCCCCGGCUGCCCCCGCAGAGGCCCCAGCGCCCGAGGUCUACGCGGGCCGCCCGCUGCUGCCAUCGCUCGGCGGCCCCUUCCCUCUGCUCGCGCCGCCGCUGCUGCCGGGUCUGACCCGGGCGCUGCCCGCCGCCCCCAGGGCGGGGCCGCAGGGCCCGGGUGGGCCCUGGAGGCCGUGGCUGCGCUGAGGCUGUGGCCCUGAGACUGCAUCGGAGGCGGCGCCCCGUUCUAGGGCCGUGGCCUUUGCCGAGACUGUAGCAGAGAAUACGUAUUUAUUAUUC